AUGAACGCUGGCGGCGUGCCUAAUACAUGCAAGUCGAGCGAACGGACGAGAAGCUUGCUUCUCUGAUGUUAGCGGCGGACGGGUGAGUAACACGUGGAUAACCUACCUAUAAGACUGGGAUAACUUCGGGAAACCGGAGCUAAUACCGGAUAAUAUUUUGAACCGCAUGGUUCAAAAGUGAAAGACGGUCUUGCUGUCACUUAUAGAUGGAUCCGCGCUGCAUUGCUAGUUGGUAAGGUAACGGCUUACCAAGGCAACGAUGCAUAGCCGACCUGAGAGGGUGAUCGGCCACACUGGAACUGAGACACGGUCCAGACUCCUACGGGAGGCAGCAGUAGGGAAUCUUCCGCAAUGGGCGAAAGCCUGACGGAGCAACGCCGCGUGAGUGAUGAAGGUCUUCGGAUCGUAAAACUCUGUUAUUAGGGAAGAACAUAUGUGUAAGUAACUGUGCACAUCUUGACGGUACCUAAUCAGAAAGCCACGGCUAACUACGUG
rnacentral:rRNA from 1 species